rnacentral:lncRNA from 1 species
GCUCAUUGACAAAGGCAUGUUGAGCGAGAAAAUGAUGAACAUGGGGUGCCAAUGGGACCAGAAACUUCCAUGCUUUGCUGUAGGAUUAGGCAACGAUUACAUACCUCACCUUGUUUUAGCCUUGUUCUUCGCUUGUGUUCUGUUCGUUUCUCUCGAGUUCCCAUGCCUGCCUGUUAAAAGAAGAAAAACAAAGGAAGUUUAGAUGGUGAUCUUAGUGGAACUCAUAAGCGGGUGGCAAGUGGAGCUCAAAAACAAUGAUGGAUGUAAUCACGAGGAGGAGAAUAAAAAGACUAUAACGAGACAGAAACGCUGCUCUGCAUGGACCCAGAAAAGCUUAGUUUUGUCCUGGAGCAUCCAGGAAGACUGUAAAAACUACGCUGGCUGCGAGAACUAAACAAACGCGAGAGCUUACGAGCCCACGUUCUCGACACAAAAACUAACCUCGAAACGCUGGUGGUUGGGAGGCACCGCAAGCUCCCCGCCUCUACAAAAGCAAAAAAGCCUAGCGUUAGUGCAAGGUAGUCGAGCAAGCAUGCACGGGCCAGCAGCAUAAGAAGAGAAAAAAACGCGAAAAGUGAAAGAGAAAAGAAGAGUGCUCACCAUGGAUGGCUGCUGCUGUGCUGGUGUCUAUCCAUUCAAGGAGAUGUUGCCAUCGUUACGGUUUUAAAAUGCGGGUCAAAACGGGGUCUCACCUUGUUUUUGUUCCUGGAGGGUGAGGACGACUUGUGUGAAGGAGCAACAACGUAAAAAAUGAAGAGGAUCACCUUUGUGCGGGAUAUACCAGCGCCUAUCGAAUACCGUGACCCGACGUUUCAGGAAUUGGCAGCAGCCGAAAGUGUCCGACUUAACAGCGGAGAAAGCUCAGCCUG